GUGAUGCAGAGUAAAACUCAAAAAACGGUACUCAGUUCGGAUUNAAGGCUGAAAUUCGCCAUCAUGAAGCUGGAGUUACUAGUAAUCGCAGAUCAGAAUGCUGCGGUGAAUGCGUUCCCGGGUCUUGUACACACCGCCCGUCACACCACGGAAGUUGGGGGCGCCCGAAGCCACUUAGCUAACCCUUUUGGGAAGCGAGUGUCGAAGGUGAAAUCAAUAACUGGGGUGAAGUCGUAACAAGGUAAC
rnacentral:rRNA from 1 species